rnacentral:rRNA from 1 species
AGUGAACGCUGGCGGUAGGCCUAACACAUGCAAGUCGAACGGCAGCACAGUAAGAGCUUGCUCUUACGGGUGGCGAGUGGCGGACGGGUGAGGAAUACAUCGGAAUCUACUUUUUCGUGGGGGAUAACGUAGGGAAACUUACGCUAAUACCGCAUACGACCUACGGGGGAAAGCAGGGGAUCUUCGGACCUUGCGCGAUUGAAUGAGCCGAUGUCGGAUUAGCUAGUUGGCGGGGUAAAGGCCCACCAAGGCGACGAUCCGUGGCUGGUCUGAGAGGAUGAUCAGCCACACUGGAACUGAGACACGGUCCAGACUCCUACGGGAGGCAGCAGUGGGGAAUAUUGGACAAUGGGCGCAAGCCUGAUCCAGCCAUACCGCGUGGGUGAAGAAGGCCUUCGGGUUGUAAAGCCCUUUUGUUGGGAAAGAAAAGCAGCAGGUUAAUACCCCGCUGUUCUGACGGUACCCAAAGAAUAAGCACCGGCUAACUUCGUG